AAGACAUUGUGUCUUCGAGUCGUUGAUUUCACACUGCCGAGAAAAGCCUCUAGAUAGAAAAUAGGUGCCCGUACCGCAAACCGACACAGGUAGUCAAGAUGAGAAUUCUAAGGUGAGCGAGCGAACUCUCGUUAAGGAACUCGGCAAAAUGACCCCGUAACUUCGGGAGAAGGGGUGCUCUUUAGGGUUAACGCCCAGAAGAGCCGCAGUGAAUAGGCCCAAGCGACUGUUUAUCAAAAACACAGGUCUCUGCUAAACCGUAAGGUGAUGUAUAGGGGCUGACGCCUGCCCGGUGCUGGAAGGUUAAGAGGAGUGGUUAGCUUCUGCGAAGCUACGAAUCGAAGCCCCAGUAAACGGCGGCCGUAACUAUAACGGUCCUAAGGUAGCGAAAUUCCUUGUCGGGUAAGUUCCGACCCGCACGAAAGGCGUAACGAUUUGGGCACUGUCUCAACGAGAGACUCGGUGA
rnacentral:rRNA from 1 species